GGCAUAACACUGAGAAAUUGGUACUAAUUCCCCAUAAUAUUCGGAGAGGCAUCUCUCCGGGUUGAAAACUCCGGUGGUUAUAGAUGGACAUGCGUUGUAUUAGCUAGUUGGUGAGGUAACGGCUCACCAAGGCAACGAUACAUAGGGGGACUGAGAGGUUAACCCCCCACACUGGUACUGAGACACGGACCAGACUCCUACGGGAGGCAGCAGUGAGGAAUAUUGGUCAAUGGACGCAAGUCUGAACCAGCCAUGCCGCGUGCAGGAAGACGGCUCUAUGAGUUGUAAACUGCUUUUGUACGAGGGUAAACUCACCUACGUGUAGGUGACUGAAAGUAUCGUACGAAUAAGGAUCGGCUAACUCCGUGCCAGCAGCCGCGGUAAUACCGGAGGAUUCAAGCGUUAUCCGGAUUUAUUGGGUUUAAAGGGUGCGUAGGCGGUUUGAUAAGUUAGAGGUGAAUCCCGGGGCUUAACUCCGGACUGCCUCUAAUACUGUUAGACUAGAGAGUAGUUGCGGUAGGCGGAAUGUAUGGUGUAGCAGUGA
rnacentral:rRNA from 1 species